rnacentral:rRNA from 1 species
CCUACGGGAGGCAGCAGUGGGGGAUAUUGCACAAUGGGGGAAACCCUGAUGCAGCGACGCCGCGUGGGUGAAGAAGUAUUUCGGUAUGUAAAGCCCUAUCAGCAGGGAAGAAAGAAGACGGUACCUGACUAAGAAGCCCCGGCUAACUACGUGCCAGCAGCCGCGGUAAUACGUAGGGGGCGAGCGUUAUCCGGAUUCACUGGGGGUAAAGGGAGCGUAGACGGCCGUGCAAGCCAGGAGUGAAAGCCCGGGGCCCAACCCCGGGACUGCUCUUGGAACUGUGCGGCUGGAGUGCGGGAGGGGCAGGCGGAAUGCCUGGUGUAGCGGUGAAAUGCGUAGAUAUCAGGAGGAACACCGGCGGCGAAGGCGGCCUGCUGGACCGCGACUGACGUUGAGGCUCGAAAGCGUGGGGAGCGAACAGGAUUAGAUACCCCUGUAGUC